rnacentral:RNase_P_RNA from 2 species
GAAGCUGACCAGACAGUCGCCGCUUCGUCGUCGUCCUUUCGGGGAGACGGGCGGAGGGGAGGAAAGUCCGGGCUCCAUAGGGCAGGGUGCCAGGUAACGCCUGGGGGGGAAACCCACGACCAGUGCAACAGAGAGCAAACCGCCGAUGGCCCACGUAAGUGGGAUCAGGUAAGGGUGAAAGGGUGCGGUAAGAGCGCACCGCGCGGCUGGUAACAGCCCGUGGCACGGUAAACUCCACCCGGAGCAAGGCCAAAUAGGGGUUCAUAAGGUACGGCCCGUACUGAACCCGGGUAGGCUGCUUGAGCCAGUGAGCGAUUGCUGGCCUAGAUGAAUGACUGUCCACGACAGAACCCGGCUUAUCGGUCAGUUUCACCU